UACGUAGGGUGCAAGCGUUAAUCGGAAUUACUGGGCGUAAAGCGUGCGCAGGCGGUCGUGCAAGACAGAUGUGAAAUCCCCGGGCUUAACCUGGGAACUGCGUUUGAAACUGGGAGACUUGAGUGUGGCAGAGGGGGGUGGAAUUCCACGUGUAGCAGUGAAAUGCGUAGAUAUGUGGAGGAACACCGAUGGCGAAGGCAGCCCCCUGGGUUAACACUGACGCUCAUGCACGAAAGCGUGGGGAGCAAACAGG
rnacentral:rRNA from 1 species